rnacentral:rRNA from 1 species
UACGAAGGGGGCUAGCGUUGCUCUGAAUGACUGGGCGUAAAGGGCGCGUAGGCGGUUUGUACAGUCAGGUGUGAAAUUCCCGGGCUCAACCUGGGGGCUGCACUUGAUACGUAUGGACUGGAGUGGGGAAGAGGGUCGUGGAAUUCCCAGUGUAGAGGUGAAAUUCGUAGAUAUUGGGAAGAACACCGGUGGCGAAGGCGGCGACCUGGUCCUUGACUGACGCUGAGGCGCGAAAGCGUGGGGAGCAAACAGG